UUGCCAGACUCCUACGGGAGGCAGCAGUGAGGAAUAUUGGUCAAUGGGCGGGAGCCUGAACCAGCCAUGCCGCGUGAAGGCGAGUGCCCUACGGGCGUUAAACUUCUUUUGUGCGGGAGCAAUAAGGGCCACGUGUGGCCCGAUGAGAGUACCGCACGAAUAAGCAUCGGCUAACUCCGUGCCAGCAGCCGCGGUAAUACGGGGGAUGCGAGCGUUAUCCGGAUUUAUUGGGUUUAAAGGGUGCGUAGGCGGGCUGUUAAGUCAGGGGUAAAGGCCGGGGGCUCAACCCCGGCGAGCCGUUGAAACUGGCUGUCUUGAGAUGUCGAGAGGUAUGCGGAAUGCGCAGUGUAGCGGUGAAAUGCUUAGAUAUUGCGCAGAACUCCGAUUGCGAAGGCAGCAUACCGGCGGCGAUCUGACGCUGAGGCACGAAAGCGUGGGUAUCGAACAGGAUUAGAUACCCCAGUA
rnacentral:rRNA from 1 species